UGAGGAAUUUUGCGCAAUGGGGGAAACCCUGACGCAGCAACGCCGCGUGAGUGAAGAAGGCUUUCGGGUCGUAAAGCUCUGUCAAGAGGGAAGAAAGCGGGAUAUGGUAAAACUGUAAUCCAUUGACGGUACCUCUGAAGGAAGCACCGGCUAACUCCGUGCCAGCAGCCGCGGUAAUACGGGGGGUGCAAGCGUUAUUCGGAUUUAUUGGGCGUAAAGAGCUCGUAGGCGGUUCGGUAAGUCAGGUGUGAAAACUUUGGGCUUAACCCAAAGCGUGCAUCUGAUACUGCUGUGACUAGAGUUCGGUAGGGGAGUGGGGAAUUCCUAGUGUAGCGGUGAAAUGCGCAGAUAUUAGGAGGAACACCGGUGGCGAAGGCGCCACUCUGGGCCGAAACUGACGCUGAGGAGCGAAAGCGUGGGUAGCAAACAGG
rnacentral:rRNA from 1 species